AUUGAACGCUGGCGGCAGGCCUAACACAUGCAAGUCGAGCGGAUGAAGGGAGCUUGCUCCUGGAUUCAGCGGCGGACGGGUGAGUAAUGCCUAGGAAUCUGCCUGGUAGUGGGGGAUAACGUCCGGAAACGGGCGCUAAUACCGCAUACGUCCUGAGUGAGAAAGUGGGGGAUCUUCGGACCUCACGCUAUCAGAUGAGCCUAGGUCGGAUUAGCUAGUUGGUGGGGUAAAGGCCUUCCAAGGCGACGAUCCGUAACUGGUCUGAGAGGAUGAUCAGUCACACUGGAACUGAGACACGGUCCAGACUCCUACGGGAGGCAGCAGUGGGGAAUAUUGGACAAUGGGCGAAAGCCUGAUCCAGCCAUGCCGCGUGUGUGAAGAAGGUCUUCGGAUUGUAAAGCACUUUAAGUUGGGAGGAAGGGCAGUAAGUUAAUACCUUGCUGUUUUGACGUUACCAACAGAAUAAGCACCGGCUAACUUCGUG
rnacentral:rRNA from 1 species